AACGCACCUUGCGCCCCUUGGUAUUCCGAGGGGCACGCCUGUUUGAGUGUCGUGAAAUUCUCAACUCGAUCUUUUUGUUUACAAAAAGGUUGGGCUUGGACUUGGAGGCUUGCCGGCUCUGCAAAGACUCGGCUCCUCUUGAAUGCAUGAGUGGGAACCUUUGUAGGGUGACCUUUGGUGUGAUAAUUGUCUACGCCGUUGGUCUGCCUUGCGAAAUUAUGGGUACCUGCUUCUAACCGUCUUUUCGGAGACAAUUUCUAUGAAACUUGACCUCAAAUCAGGCGGGACUACCCGCUGAACUUAA
rnacentral:misc_RNA from 1 species